rnacentral:snRNA from 1 species
CGGAAAACUUUUGGAAAA